AUGUGGUGCCCACACGCGUCAGGCAUGGCGGCGCUGCUCAAGGCCGUCCACCCGGAGUGGAGGCCCGCGGCGGCCCUGGGCUUAGUCUACGAAGCUGGGUCGUACGACUACAUCAAGAUCAUGUACGCGAUGAACUACAUGACGGCGCAGAUCAAGAUCGUGGCACAGUCGUCGACCCGUGUGGACCGCAUCGGUGCAUCGCUUGAUCUUAACUACCCGUCCUUCAUCAUGUACUUUGACACGACCGGAAAUAAUACGUUCGUCAGGACCGUGACCAACGUGGGUGAUGGGCCGGCGAGGUACAGUGCCACGGUGGAGGGACUGGACGGGCUGAAGAUGAGCAUCAUGCCGAAUAGGUUGGUGUUCGGCAAGAAGCACGAGAAACAGAGAUACAUGGUCGUGAUUCAGGUGUGGGAUGAGCUAAUGCCCGAGGUAGUGCUACAUGGAUCAUUGACGUGGGUGGACGACAACGGCAAGUACACGGUGAGAAGCCCCAUCGUGGUGACAACGACGCCUGUGCUAUAG
rnacentral:rRNA from 1 species